rnacentral:rRNA from 1 species
UACGUAGGGACCGAGCGUUGUCCGGAAUCAUUGGGCGUAAAGAGCGUGUAGGCGGCCACUUAAGUCCUGCGUGAAAUCUUGCGGCUCAACCGCAAGCGGUCGUGGGAAACUGGGUGGCUAGAGUGCGGGAGAGGAGAGUGGAAUUCCUGGUGUAGCGGUGGAAUGCGCAGAUAUCAGGAAGAACACCCGUGGCGAAGGCGGCUCUCUGGAACGCAACUGACGCUGAGACGCGAAAGCGUGGGGAGCGAACAGG